rnacentral:rRNA from 1 species
CAGCAGCCGCGGGAAUACGUAGGUCCCGAGCGUUGUCCGGAUUUAUUGGGCGUAAAGCGAGCGCAGGCGGUUAGAUAAGUCUGAAGUUAAAGGCUGUGGCUUAACCAUAGUACGCUUUGGAAACUGUUUAACUUGAGUGCAAGAGGGGAGAGUGGAAUUCCAUGUGUAGCGGUGAAAUGCGUAGAUAUAUGGAGGAACACCGGUGGCGAAAGCGGCUCUCUGGCUUGUAACUGACGCUGAGGCUCGAAAGCGUGGGGAGCAAACAGGAUUAGAUACCCGGGUAGUCCCUGUCUCUUAUACA